CCUGCCACGCGGGAGGCCCGGGU
rnacentral:piRNA from 2 species